CCUCCAGCCUCCAGCCGCUUUCCCCUUCACGCAAGAGUCGACGUUCCUGAUCAGAAAUCCGUCCCCCAGCCACCGUCGGUCUGCCGCCCGCCCACCUCGCCGGACCCGCCCAUCUCGUCAGCCAUCCUUUGAAUGGAGUCUGAAUCUUCAGGUUCUUUGUAAACUCUAAAUAGUGAGAUGCUGGUAAGUACUCAAGACGUAAGCGAGCACGAGAAGAUUUAACAAAAUCCCCAGUAGCUCCUAAACAAAUGAGUGUAUAUUGGUUGCAUUGUGAAACAGGAGUUCGGACAUUAAGCAAUAAAAGCAAGCAAUCGAUCGGUAUUUGCAAAUAUUGUAAAGUUAAGAUUCCUACUACUCAUGAAAGUACAAGUAGGUUGAAAAAUCAUUUGGUGAGAAGAUGUAAGAUAAGUUCACUGUACGAAGGAAUUGGAAAGGAAGAAAAAUAAUGUAUUUUGACAAAUGAGUCUCUAGGAAUUGGACAAGGAAAUUCAUUAGUUUGGUACUUCUUCAGUAAAAAAAGGUGUGCAUUGAAGCUUGUUGAAUAUGUGGUUAGUGAUGAAGUAUCAUUCCGAGCAGUUGAAGGAAAGAGAUUCAUAAACAAAUGAGUCUCUAGAAUUGGACAAGGAAAUUCAUUAGUUUGGUACUUCUUCAAUAAAAAAAGGUGUGCAUUGAAGCUUGUUGAAUAUGUGGUUAGUGAUGAAGUAUCAUUCCGAGCAGUUGAAGGAAAGAGAUUCAUAAAUUUUGCGCAUGAGCUAUAACCAAGAUUCAGGCUCCCCGGUCGACGAAAGGUUGUAGGUAUGGUUUAUGAUUUAUUCUUAGAGGGACCCCCGUGACCGACCGCGAACAUGUCGCCUUCCUUCUCUUCUGGCUCUGUAGGUAUGUCAUAGUCUCUCAUUCCAAAUGCGUCCUUUCUUCCCAUCUUGACCUAGUUAUUUAUAUAGCAUCAGGUCGUUUCUUUUCGCUUGGCACCCUUUUCUUAGCCAAUCUUUUUGAAGGUCUUUCUAAGUUUAGUACCCGUCUUGUAGAUAGGGAUAGUAAGAAAUUAGAUACCGCCGCGUCGGGCCCUUUUUGGUUCCUGGAACUUUGGUUCCAGCUUUAUUUUCAUGACGUGUUCCAACUUGGCCGUCCUCUUAUUUCCCCAACACCCGACAAAUCUUUGGGAUUAGCCCUUAAUCGACUCUGCCUAGGCCACGGCAACCUCCAAUCAUCCGAUCCCAUCAUAACCGCUAUUCUAGCCGACAACCGCAGCAACUCCCGAUUUUACGUAUAUAGGAGGUAUGUUGGCUACGCGUCUGGUCUUUUUUGGCCUUUUCCUGUGUCUUCACCCAUGGCCGAACCUGACCCUCUUCCUCAUCCGACCUUUUCUUUUGCCUGGGAUUCUGCCCUUAAACCCAGGUCCUUAUUUGUUAGUAAAAAAUUUGAUAAAAAAGGCCAAAAAUCAUUUUAUACUUUUAGUUAUCAGCCUCAAUUUUUAGCACGCCAAUUCGGCUGCUGCCAAGGCUUAUCUAGCCCCAUCGCCCGUCCCCACCUAAUACCUCAAAGUCCGUACGGGCGGGUCAUCCCUGAGUUGAUUUCUUCUUAUGUUUCCCAACUUACCACCUACAUAACUUUCAACUCUUAUAUUCCUUUCCAUUCUUCUCCCGAAACUGCUGAGACUUUCCGCGAAUGGUGGUCGGUCAUUUGGGCCCUACUUGCCCCCGAAAAAGAUCGGUUGCUGGGUGUUCUCCUGCCCCAGCCUGCCGUGGUGUUAGGGGCGGCUAGACCUAUUAGCGCCCGAAGAAAAGUAGCCGCCUCGGGUGCCGGGUCAAGCGCCCCAAAAAAAAAAGGAAAGCUUUCCAGAUCCAAACAGUCCCUACCUCUGGAACAGACCAGCAGGCUCUGAAGGACUUCUUAUCAGUUUGGAUGCCCGUAAGGACCCGGCCCCGUUUAGGCCCGACCUCGGCAGCAGCGACCGUCCAAGCCCCGGCCGAACCACCAAGCUUACCAGCUGACCAGCCUCAAGCUCUACCCAUCCACACGCAUACACCAUUACUUGUUUUGCCGAUGAUUAGUCGGGAGGAGGACCUGACUAAGAGGCAAUCCUUUCCCUCUCAGCCGAUGAGUGGUCGGGAAGGGGCCCCGACUAGGAGUCUAGGAGGCAAUCCUUGCCAGUACCGCUGAGAGACCCGACGCCUUCACCACUUGAACCGGUAGUAGCAAGGGUCUCUUAUGAUAGCGAGGCAACUGCUUCACAGAUGGGCGGACUGCCAGUUGAGGCUUCGGACUCGUCCUUUCUUAGCGAGGAACCAAUCGCACCUUCUGCAGCCGCCCCAACUGCAACCGCUCCUGCGGUAGCCGCUCAUGCUACAGUCGUCUCUGCUGCAGCCGCCCCCAUCGCGGCCGCUCCGAUUGCUGGAGAUGUCUUAGGUGCGGCCGGCACAACUGCUGGAAAUGUCCGCAGCUGCGGCCGUCCAAGUCACACCUGAUGCACCGGCUGCAGCCGCCCCAAGCGCAGCCAUCCCGAGGGCAGCCGUACCUAUUCCAGAGGCGGCAGGACGGGCUGUAGAACCACCUGCGGCCGCCCAACCAAGAGGUCCCUUGCAGGAAAUAGAAAAGAUUUCCUCUUCUGAUUCGGAGACUUCUGUUAACCUGGGGCCCAGGUCAGCACCAUAGCGACCUUUCGCAGCAGCCGAAGAGUCGGCUAUUGCGGUGCCCGCUGCCCGUCCUCCCCAACCGACAACGCUCCUUGCGCCCUCCAUAACCACGGUCCGCCCGGAAGGACAUCUUGAUUUAGCCCCUCUAUCAGCCAUUCCGAUUCCGGCGGAUAUUCAGGCCAUCUUUGCCCAGGCCGUCAACCGACCUUUCCCCGACUUGGGGUCAGAUUUUCUGGAAAGUCUUUUUCAGGCGGUUGGUGGCCUUUUAUUUCAAAGUCCUUCGGAAUCGGCGGCCGCCCCAAUUCUACAUCGGCUGAUGGAGAGAUUGACUGAACUUCGAAACGACAUCUUACUCGUCCGACUCCUAUCAGCCGAACCAUCCCAGCCAAGUGUGGGUCAAAUAAGUUUGGAAACUUCAUUGGCCAAAACCAGGGAAUCCCUUCAGCAAGCUACUGGACGGUUAGAAGAACUCCUCAGCGUCAAGACUCAAAUAGAUGAGUCGAUCCAGAAGAAGGAGGCAGAAUUUAGGGCGCUUGUCAAGAACAGUCCAUCCUGGAGGGUCACGUCGCCGACGAACAGCGCCUAAUUGAGCGAUACAAGAAGAAUGAGGCCGACUUAGAUUAAGAAUUAAAGAUUCAAACCCGGUCUCAAUCUAUCAGAAGAUAUCAGGCGGCUGCUGACAACCGACGGCUGUCCAGGGCCGAAGAUAAAUGGUCCCAAAUCAAAACUGUCCUGGGGGUCCUUUUGUAAAUUUUUGUAAAUUCUUACUUAGUAAACACUUUUUGUUUCUCCUAUCGACAAGGAUCACUUUCUGUACUCCGAAUCUCCAGGGACCAAAUCAAACUUACUUCCCUUAUAAAAAUCAUUUCCCUUUGUGAUAAAGCAAACAAACUUCGAAAAGAACCUAAAAUUGGGACAUACCUGAGGUAUUAAUCAAAAUGUCACACAAUCGACCCCAUGUUCCUUCAAAAAACUGGGAAGGUGUCAUUCAACCCUUCUUUGUGGGUAACCAUCCCGUCGGUGGCUAUGCUGAAGACUUGUUACACAUACUCAAGCAACUGGAUUUCAAAUUCAGAUUUUCCCAACGAGGAAGAAAGACCAUUCAUCGUUUUAUUCGCCUGAUGGAAAACGUUCUGGGAGGAUAUGAAACUCUUCGUGAUAUCCUAAGCCGCCUUCAUGAUAUUGAUCACCAUAUGGACUUGAUUGAACAUCACGUGACAGCCAUACUUCCAGACCUUGGUUGGGAUCAUAUAUUUUCCAAUCAGCGCACAGUCUUUUCAAGACUACGCACUCUUGUUGAUCGUGAACGACAGGCCAUAACAGACAUGAAAGCUCUACUAAUCAUGACUUAGAAGAAAUGUAAAAUCAAUGGGAACGAUACCGACCUGAUUUAGAAGACCUUCUUGAUGAGGAACCAGAAUUAAUUUCUAAUCACUGGGAUGAAGAUUCUGACUCGGAAGAAGGAGGUCCCCCGCACAUAUCAAUGUCUGAUAAUGAAUAAACCCCAUUUUGGGUCCGAACACCUUAUGUUUGGGUUCUGAAUAAAAAAUCUUGUUUUAUGCAUUCUUCUUAUCUGAAAAGGCAGGAAAUACCUCUUCAGAUAUCUAGCAUUAAUACAAUCAUGUACUCUUUUACCCUCUUGAUUCACUAUAAUAAAGGCACAAUUUUCAAUCUCCUUUUGAAUAAUAAAUGGCCCUUCCCAAUUCGGAGACCACUUUCCUAAUUGAUCAAUCUUCUUGUAUGUAGGAAGAAUGGUCUUCCAAACCAAAUCUCCUUAUUGGAAAGUCUUAUAAAGGACUUUCUUUCCAUAAGACUUUGCCCUGAGUUCAUUCUGUUUCACAAUCUGAUCGAUUGCAUGGAGUCGGUUGACAUCCAGACUCUCCAACUGCUGAACAUAACUUGUUGAUAUUCUUCAGUAAACUUUCAAGUAGUAAAACUUAUACGUCCAGAUGAUACCUGAAUUUCGGCUGGUAACACAGCAUCUUGCCCAAAAGUAAGUUGAUAUGGUGAGAAUCCCGUGGCCGAACUUCUGCUAUUCCUGUGUGCCCAUAAGGCCUGAGGUAACAGCAAAUGCCAUUUUUUUGGAUUCCCCUCAACCAUCUUCUUUAUAAUUCCAAUAAUAAUCUUAUUGGCUGCCUCUGCUUGCCCAUUAGCUUGGGGAUAAUAAGGCGAAGAAUGGUUUAUCCGAAUACCAAACUCUGCCAAGAAGCUUAGAAAUUUCUCCCCAGUGAAAACCAGACCUUGGUCGGUGGUUAUAGAAUGAGAAAUACCAUACCUAUAAAUGAUCUGAUUUAACACAAAAUCAGACACCCCCUUUUGAUUCACAUUUUUUAAAGCAACCGCCUCGACCAAUUUGGUGAAAUAGUCUGUUGCAGUCAAAAUAAAACAAUGAUGUUUGGAUGAAGGAGGAUGUAUUUUACCAAUGAUGUCCAUGGCCCAAGACUUGAAAGGCUAUGGUUUUACCAUAACUUGCAAUUCAGUGACUGGCAAGUGAUUCAACUGUCCAUGUUUUUGACAUUCUUGGCAACCUUUGGCAAAUUGUAUACAAUCUUCGAAAAUCUUUGGCCAAAAGAAACCCAAACGAUGAAUAGCCCAUCUCAUAUUCAAACCUACUCGAUGAGCUCCGCAGACCCCACUGUGUACUUCUGUCAUGACUUCCAAAGCCUGUUCAGACCCUAAACAUCUUAAAAGUAAUCCGUCGAACGUCCUUUUGUAUAAGACUUCUUCUAUCAACUGAAAUCGUAGAGCCUUUAACCGUAUCCCUAUCGGCACAUUCGCUCUUGGAUUUUGUAGAUACAUGACAAUUUCUGUCCUCCAGUCGGUCCCAUAUUCUGUUUCCGAUUCGAUCUCCGCACAAAUAUCUUUCGGGAUUUCUUUACAAACUUUUUGAGCUAACUCAUCUGCAAGUUGGUUUUCCUUCCUAGGGAUGAACUCAAUUAUCACCUCUGAGAUUAUUAAUAAAAAACGACAUACAAUAUCCCGGUAUCUGCGUAGAUGAGGAUAAUUGCAAACAUAUUGUUUGGUUACCUGAUUGAUUACCAAUUGAGAAUCUCCUCUUAUGACCAUCGAAUGAACAUUCCUGGCUAUUAAGGCUUCCAACCCCAAGAUUAAAACCUCAUAUUCUGCCGAAUUAUGGGUCAUGGCUUCUAAUUGCAGUUGUAAUUUGAUCUUUUGGCCAUCUGGUCCUUUCAAUAAGACCCAUGCACCUGAUCUAUUUCUAGAAGUAGAACCAUAAAAAAACAUUAACCAAUUUCGGGUACUCACAUAAGAUAUGCAUCCGAUCUGCUCUUGAUUAUCCCUCGAAAAGUCUGCCAAAAAAUCUGCUAUUGCUUGGCUUUUAUAACUGCCUUCAAUGGAGAAUGUUGCAAAUCAAAAUGAGCCAAUUUAAUGGUCCAUUUCAUAAGUCUGCCCUGCAUGGUAGAUCUUUGCAAAAUUAAUUUGAUAAGAUCUCCCUUUGAGAUAACCUCUAUUCUCCUAGGCAGCAUAUAAUGCUCAAGUUUGGUGCAUGCAAACACCAAUAAGUAACACAUUUUUUCUGGCAUAGUGUAAUUCAUUUAUGGUCCUAUGAGGGUCUUACUCAAAUAAUAAAUUGCCCUUUCCUUUCCAUCAUCACCAUCUUGUGCUAGUAAGCAGCUGGCCACUUCAUGUGUAUUUGCCAAAUAAAGUUUGAAGGGCCGACCUUCCUUGGGAGGCAUUAACACAGGUGGUUGAAUCAAGGCUUGCUUUAUAGCUUCUAAAGCUGUCUGCUGAUCUGGUCCCCAAUCAAAAGCGUUUGCCCCGCCCUUUAAUAAUUUAGUAAUUGGUCUGACCUUUCCUGCAGCAUUAGAAAUGAACCUUCUUAGAUAAUUUACCUUGCCAAAAAAACUCUGUACUUCCUUGACCGUUUUGGGUGAUCGGAUAGAUAGAAUUGCUUUGGCUUUAUUGGCAUCGAUUUCAAUUCCCCUUUUCAUGUACCAAAAAUCCUAAGAAACUUCCAGUUGGUAUACCAAAAGCAUAUUUAGUUGGAUUCAUUUUCAACUUGUACCUCUUCAUUCGUUCGAAGGCAUCUUUCAGGUCUCUCAAGUGUUCCUCGAAACUGGAAGAUUUGACGAUAACAUCAUCAAUAUAUAUUUCCAUAGAUUUGCCAAUAAGAUCAUGAAAGAUUGAAUUCAUGGCCCUUUGAUAAGUUGCCCCAGCAUUCUUUAAACCGAAUGACAUAACCGUCCAUUCGUAAAUACCUAAACCUCCUAGACACCUAAACGCUGUCUCAUGAAUAUCUUCUUCUGCCAAAAAGAUUUAAUUAUAUCUUGCAUAACCAUUCAUCAGACUGAGGAUUUUAUGUCCUGCUGCUGAAUCAAUCAACAUAUCGGCCAUAGGCAUCACAUAUUCGUCUUUAGGAGUGGCUAUGGUAAGAUCCCUGAAAUCAAUACAUAUCCUAAUCUUACCAUUCUUUUUAACCACUGGUACAAUAUUUGCGAACCAUUUUGCAUAUCGGCAAGGCCGAAUAAAACCCACUUUAAGAAGUUUCUGGAUUUCCUCUUUGAUUUGAGGCAUCAAAUCAGGACUUAUACGCGUUGGGGGCUGUUUAUAAGGUUUAAAACCUUCUCUAAUAGGCAACCGAUGCUCUAUCAGAUUUCUUUCCAAACCAAGCAUUUCAGAAUAAUCCCAAACUAAACAAUCAAUAUUGUUUUUUAUAACCUCAAGUAUCAUUACCUGUUGCUCCUCAGACAAAUAACCACUUAUCCUUAUUAUUUUGGAACCAAGUCGGUUCCUAAAUUGAAUUCCAAUAAAGGGUCUUGAGCUGAAAAGGCUGGUUCUGUCUUUUCUAACAAAUCUGGCCACCGAAAUUGUUCAUCUUCCUGGUAAUGAACAUCAUACAUUUUUUUAGUUUUUUCUGCCUUUUCCAUAAGCUGAUUUAAGUAAAACUGAUUAAUAAGUAAACUACAAUCUUCCAAAUUUGUACUAUCCAUAAAAGAUAUAUUAUAAGAUAAGUUUGGCUUUCUUAUGAGCCAUACAUUAGGAUUGUUCUUUUUAGAAGAACAUUGAAUUCUGGCUGGUGAAUCUAUAACCCUUCCUUGGGUAUUCACUAGCCAUAAAUGCCUGAGACAUUGGGGGUAUGUGAUAACUCCAAAUAGGAGUAUAUUCUUAACUUGACAAAACUGUGUAUUACUCGAAUUUUUGUAUAAAAACCAUCACAAUGAUUCAUCAAUGGCAUACAUUAUUGAUAUAUAUCGCUUUGCAUGAUCCAGAAUUUGUUGUUGAGAUUAUUAACG